rnacentral:rRNA from 1 species
GACGAACGCUGGCGGCGUGCUUAACACAUGCAAGUCGAACGGUGAAGCGCCUUCCUUUUUGGUGGGUGUGGAUGAGUGGCGAACGGGUGAGUAACACGUGAGUAACCUGCCCCCUUCUUCUGGAUAACCGCAUGAAAGUGUGGCUAAUACGGGAUAUUCUGGGUCUGUCGCAUGAUGGGUCUGGGAAAGAUAUUGUUUCGGUGGGGGAUGGGCUCGCGGCCUAUCAGCUUGUUGGUGGGGUGAUGGCCUACCAAGGCGGUGACGGGUAGCCGGCCUGAGAGGGUGGACGGUCACACUGGGACUGAGACACGGCCCAGACUCCUACGGGAGGCAGCAGUGGGGAAUAUUGCACAAUGGGCGCAAGCCUGAUGCAGCGACGCCGCGUGAGGGGUGGAGGCCUGCGGGUUGUGAACCUCUUUCGCCAGUGAAGCAGGCCUGCCUCGUUUGUGGGUGGGUUGACGGUAGCUGGAUAAGAAGCGCCGGCUAACUACGUG